UUUUCUGCCACCGAAUACAUUAGCAUGGGAUAAUGGAAUAGGACCCUGUCCUCCUAUUUUCAGUUGGUUUUGGCAGCGCGAGGACUAGGGUAAUGAUUAAUAGGGAUAGUUGGGGGCAUUAAUAUUUAAUUGUCAGAGGUGAAAUUCUUGGAUUUAUGAAAGAUUAACUUCUGCGAAAGCAUCUGCCAAGGAUGUUUUCAUUAAUCAAGAACGAAAGUUAGGGGAUCGAAGACGAUCAGAUACCGUCGUAGUCUUAACCAUAAACGAUGCCGACCAGCGAUUAGGAGACGUUGAAUACAAAACACCACCAUCGGUUGCGGUCGUCCUUGGCGUCUCGGUUUCGGCCGGGGCGCGGGGAUGGCUUAGCCCGGUGGCACCGGUGAAUGACUCCCCUAGCAGCUUGUGA
rnacentral:rRNA from 1 species